rnacentral:rRNA from 1 species
AGGACGAACGCUGGCGGCGUGCUUAACACAUGCAAGUCGAACGAGGUCCAUCCCGUCGCAAGACGGGGGAAGACCUAGUGGCGAACGGGUGAGUAACACGUGAGGAACGUGCCCCGGAGACCGGGAUAACAGCGGGAAACCGCUGCUAAUACCGGAUACCUUCCUUUGAUCGCAUGAUCAGUUGAAGAAAUGGAUUCCGCUCCGGGAGCGCCUCGCGGUCUAUCAGCUUGUGGUGGGUAACGGCCUACCAAGGCGACGACGGAUAGCUGGUCUGAGAGGACGAUCAGCCACACUGGGACUGAGACACGGCCCAGACUCCUACGGGAGGCAGCAGUGGGGAAUCUUGCCCAAUGGGCGAAAGCCUGAGGCAGCAACGCCGCGUGUGGGAUGAAGGCCCUUGGUUGUAAACCACUUUCAGCAGGACGAAAAUGACGGUACCUGCAGAAGAAGCCCCGGCAACUACGUGCCAGCAGCCGC